AAUGCAGCCAGCGCAGCGGCGGCCGGGACCGGGAACGGCCGCGCGGAGCUUGGAGGACGCGGGACGCGCCGCGCCCCGGCCACUGACCGAGGACUGGUGGCUAGGGGUGACUAUGGCAUCCUGCCCCAAAGAGCAGCACUGGGACGCCUUGACCAAAACCUGUGUCUCCUGUGUCUCCUGCAGCCAGAGGAGCCAGCGCACCUGUACAGACUUUUGCAAGUUCCUCGGUUGCCGCAGAGAGCAAGGCAAGUACUAUGACCACCUCUUGGGGGUCUGUGUCAGCUGUGACUCCACCUGCACACAGCACCCCCAGCAAUGUGCACAAUUCUGUGAGAAAAAGGCCAGAAGCCAGGUGAACUUCCAGUCCGAGCUCAGGAGACCACAGGCCAGGGAGGUGGAAGCCAGGCCAGGCAACUCAGGAAGGCACCAGGGAUCUGAGCUGGGAGGCUUGCAGGCAGUCCCAGCAUCCACAGGACUGAGGCUGAGCAGCGACCAGCUGGCCCUCGUCUAUUGCACACUGGGGCUCUGCCUCUGCGCUAUCUUCUGCUGUUUCCUGGUGGCCUUGGCCUGCUUCCUCCGGCGCAGAGAGCGGCUUCCGAGCCAGUGUUCAGGCCCAUGUGGGCCACAGGCAAAGUCUCCCCACCGCCCCGCGAUGGAGGCUCGCAGUGAGGUGGCCUUGCCACCCCAGCCUGUCGAGACGUGUAGCUUCUGCUUCCCGGAGCGCAGCUCACCCACACAGGAGAGUACGCGCACGCUCGGGAUUCUCGGCUUAGCGGGCACAGCAGCCCCGCAGCCUUGUGUGCGCGCAUCGGUUGGCGGCCUGGGCGUCGUGCGCGUGCCCUUCGGGGACGCUGGUCCGGGAGCCUGACAGCCAGUGAAGGAGACAAUGAAGAAGAUGGAGUGCGAGAGGAGGGGAGGAAUGAAGAAGAGACUAGGGGAAGAAGACACAGCCCGGAAGAGAGACAGCCCGGCUGCACCCACCGCAAGGAAGCAACCACCUGCAGCGCCCACAUCCCCAGCACCACCUGCGCCACUGUGUCCCAUACUUUAGGCAGAGCAGUCAACCUGUGCGCUCCUCUUUAGUGGAGGAAGAUGGAGAAUGGCCGGCACCUGGAGCAUUGUUCUCAUAGCUGUUACAAAUAAGGGUUCUUCCCUAGGGCCUUAGACAGAUAGCUGAGUGCAGUUUGCAUGUGUUUGUGAAUUAAGUAAUUUGCAUGUGUAUGUGCAGAUGCUGGGUUGUGUCGUGUGCAUAUGUACAUGAAUUGUAUGUCUGUAUAAGUCACGUGUAUAUGUAUGUGUGUUCACAAGUGUGUGUGGCUGAUGUGAUGUAGCCAGGAAGGUUGAGGGCCUCCAGGGGAAGGCCAACCAUCUAAAAGAAUGAUGAGUGUUCCCUGAACCUCACCAUGAGUAUGUUCAAUUGCACUCAUUUUAAUGAGCACUUAUGCUUAUCCUUCUAGUUGCAUUUAAACCUCCAGGUGCAUGAAAAUAUCCUCAGAAGCGUUUUCCCAGCAAGGUGAAGUGUGAAAUUUCAUCCUUCCUAACCUGGUACUUGGCAGACCUACCUACCCCAAAGGCUAUCCAUAGCCAGCAGGCUGCACAGGAAUGAGGCUGCCAUUCACAGGCUCUUCCUGAGGCUGCACAUGCAAGGUUUUCGGGCCAGCCUCCCUUAGCCUCUUUGAUGAUAUUUCUUCCCACCACGGAUCAGUGUUCCUGUAAAGGACCAGGUUGGCCAGCCAGGGGGUGUGCACUGUGGCUGCACUGUAGGGUAAAAAGGGCCAGUGAAAGCAUACCCUGGCCCUGAGACCAGAGCUGAGGAAUUACACCCUACCCCUAACCAAUUCAGGACUUGAAAUUCAACGAAUCCCUGAGCACAAAACCUAACCAAACCCUGAGCAUAAAAACCAACCAACCCUUGAGCACGAAAUCCAACCAAUCUCUGAACUUGUCCCCAAGCUCAGGACUUGAGAUUCUUCCAAUCCCCACCCUGAAAAUCUUCACCCUGGAAAGCCCUGCCCCUAAGAAACUCUAUACAAACCCUGAACCUGUUCAGUUUGCUGCCGCUUUUUCCCACCCUGGCAGAGGCAGCCACUCUCCUGGAUUCCUCCCUCCCAAUAAAUCUCCAGUGAGGUUUGUUGUUCGGUGUGACUUCGUGGUAUUUGCGGGCUCCCAACUCCAGGAGCGCUGAGCAGAGCUGUAACAACCUCCAACUGCUGGGGCAGAGCUGUUUCAUUUGCAUUAGGGAAACCUUCCCUGCAGCAAGGACUGUGACGCUCUGCUGGGGAAAUUGGUCCCUGCGGGAACAGAGCUGUAACACUUUUGUUGGGAUACCUUUCCCUUCAGAGCUGUAUUUCUUGGCUUCCAAAUGCCGGGAUACCUUUCUACCAGAGCUGUAGCGCUCACACAGCAACUGUUCAUCUCCCCCUGGCUCUACAUAUCUUUCUUUGUCGUCUUUUUCCCCCAGUGGUCUGAAUGUGAUGUUCAGGGGUUCCUUGUUUUGGUUAACUUGUUUUAUUUAUUCUGCUUUGGGUUCUUUUAAGAUUUGUUUGUUUGAUGUUUCUCUUUCUCUCCUGAAUCUUCAAGCUCUGAGGCCCCGUUGUCUUUGUGGUUCACUCUGGAUCAUUCCCACUACACCUCAAGUUUUCUGUUUCUUUCUUCACCUGCUGAGUCUCCUCUUCAAGGCGUCUAGGGCAGACACUUGGUCUCUGACCAUAGCUGCCUCUGUUUCCUCCAGACUCUUCCCGAUAGCCUCCAUCUCUCUGCUGCAAUCCCCACCUACUCGCACACGCUGUCCACUGCCUGCUUCUGUCCAUGUGUCUGUCUCGACAGUGGGCUUUUCAUUUGCUCUGUGGUAUUGUGCCACUUUUGACUGAAUGCCAGACAUGUGCAGAAGACUGGAGAAGUACCUUCAUUUCUGCCGAUCCAUUAGCGAUCAUAAUCUAGUUAUGAAUUGAGGCGGGAUUGGGUUGUCACCUUGCUUACUCUCGGGGUCCCACUGGCUUCACAUUCCCUUAGUGCUGCUGGCCUCUUGACAGCAACUGAGUUCAGUGUGUUCCUGUCCUACCUCAGCUUUACGCUUUUCUCCUGGGGCUCUGCCACGUGGAGGGUCGUGUUUCUGGCUCUCCUUAAGUUUCAGGUGACGAUUGUCGUCAUCGGAAUGAGAUGCUGCUCUCUCAGGCUUAGGCAGUCCAGAUACUCUCAGACCCAGGACAGAGAAAGCUUCACUAACACCUCAACACCUCUCCCUCAACAGAGGUAGCCCUUUCAUGCCUUGGGAUAGUCUCUGCCACUCAGCCACAGCAGAGGAUACAUCCUUUCCCCUCCCUCCAACCCCAGUGGCUCUUGGCCUGUGCGCUAAGGCCAACCAGCUUUGCUGCCUUUUACCCAGCAGCUCCUGGAGUCUGGUGAGCUUCAUGCAUUUUCUGUCACAGUGGCUGAGGGCCUCUCUGGUCUCUGUGCCGAGCAUGUAACAGGUGGUAUAUGGAGAACCUGUGGUGGGUGUGAGUUCUCUUUGUGUUGAGGUGUGUUUGGAUGAGGUUGCACCCUCCCCAUAAGGCUUUAGUGACCAGAGAGGCAUUAUGGGGAUGGAAAUGUGGUCUGACUGGUGUGCAGAGGGACCUUUUGGAGGUGGUGUCAUUUAGGUGAUGCCAGAGUAGAGCCUAGUGACUGAACCCUGGUGGCUUUCUAAGAGGGAUCAGAAGAGAUAUGUGCUCCACUUCUGGUGACACACUGUCCAUGCUGCCUUGGGGCUCUGGGACAUCUUUUCUUUUGGCAGCCCUGUUAGUGGUACCAUUGCCAGCUGCGAAUGGGUCUGUGCACCUUGUUUGCAGUUCCCACUCAGCUGACCCACACACAACCAUGCCCUUGGACUUUCUAGCCUCUGGAACCAUGAGGAAGUAAACCCGUAUUCCUUUUAAGUUUCCCACAGAGAGGGAAUUAUAGCAAGUGAGAUACACUGACACUUUCCUGGCUCCAGACCAUCGAAUCUGCCCAUGGCUUACUGCACUUCCAUCAGAAGCAGGCUUUGGAGAUGAGACUUUCUAGCCAUCCCAGCACCUGCCUUAUUUUACAGAUGAGGGACAGUAAGUCACAUAGGACCUGUUGCUAGCUAACACAGGACACACUGCCAGGGCCACUGGAGUCCUGGCUGUGGUCUGGGCUCCUGAUAAAUGUUUUCCUGUCAUCAACUGCUUCCUGUGGGAGACAAAACUGGAGAGGGCAUUAUGUGGGGCUUUAAUCAACCUUGGCCUUCACAUUUAUUGUACAAGGAACAUGGUGGAGCAGUGAGUUAACAUUUCAGGUGGGUAGAAAAAGCAGCUUGCUCCCUGGUUGGCAGGGGAACAUGUGAACUCAGAGGGAGCAGGGCCCUUCCUGUAGACUGGUCUAGGCUGGUGCUUCAGGCUUAAUAUAGUUAAAAUGGACCCCGACAUCUUCCUGUUUCAUGAUCUUUUAUGCCUGGACUAACUCAAGGACCUGGAAUUCAGGGAUUGAAAACAUGUUCCCUUGCUGCAGGGGGGCUGCCUGUUUAAGCUCAGAGCAGAGCCUCCCAGGAACUGCCUUUAGUGAAUGAAAGCCUCCUUUCUGAGGACAUCCUUCACCCAGAGCUGGGCCAAGGCAGGGUAUGCAGUCCCAGCUCUGUGAUUCAUGAACCUGCAGAGCAUCCUGUUCCAGAGCCCAAGAAGCUGGGUGUAGUCUGCCUACUGCCUGGGACUCCAUGUAUUCUGAGCACUCAGCCCUAAGGUCACCACCUGUAGCAGCCAUCCACUAUCUCAGACAGUCUCAAGAUAGGAGCUCUUGUCCAUCCAGAAGAUGGGAGCUGCUCAAGCAGGUGGUGUCUUUUCCACAUUAACACUGCUCUCCAUGAGUGACCAGAUGCCUAAGGAAGGAAAAUCUGUUUCCAGAUGGGUCUCCACCAUGAGACGCUGCUGGAAAUGAGUGGCAUCAGCCCCACCCCUCCCACUGUUUUGUCUGGUGGAAUCUGUGACUGGAGUUCUCAGGAUUGGAUGCAUUGGGAUUCCAAAGUCAAUCAAACAGCACUCUGUGCUGGAAGCUGCACCUUCACACACCACCACUCUGCCAACUCUGCACCAGCCUGGCAGAGAACAGUGGCAAUGGCUUCUGCUCCCAUCACCUCACCUGCUAGCUGGACUUUGGGAGAGCUGAUAAAUGGAAGUGAUGGGAUGUCUGAGGCAGGCUUCAUAUUAGAACUAGAAACCAUCAUGUAAUGCUGGUGCCUCACAAGCCAGUGCAGCACUGGAUUGAGAACUGAGGGAUUAUGAAACCUGCUCAACAUUAGGUUUAGAAACGAACUCAGAUUCUUCUCAUUUCUCUCGUCCCAGAAAAUCUGAGUGUUUUGUUUAAACGGGCUUUAAAAAUUUAAUUUUUUUUGUGGCUUUCACACCACACAUCUCAAUCUCAUUCAUCUCCCCGUCCCUUUGUAUCCGCCCUUUAAAUGGGCUUUACAAAUAUAUUUUUAUGUCCAUGGGUGUUUUUGCCUGCAUGUAUGUCUGUGUGAGGGUGUCAGAAGCCCUAGAAUUGGAGUCACAGACAGUUGUGAGCUACCAUAUGGAUGCUGGAAUUGAACCAGGUCCUCUGGAAGAGCAGCCAGUACUCUUAACUGCUGAACCACCUCUCCAGCACCCCUCCUUUUUUGGGGGACAGUGCUGAGGACUGAGCCUACACUGUUAUGCACACUAAUGCACUUAUCCUACCUCUCAGCUUUAACCACACCACUUCUGAGUGUUAAUCUGAAAGUCUUAGACUCUGAGAGUGGAAAAAGUUUCCGCCUGUGGUACCUAGCAGUUGUCCCAUUUAAUCUAAUGAGAUUGUCACACAGUGAGGUCAAGGACCAAUUUCAGAUCUCACUGGCUUCUGAGACAAGGGUCUGAUCCAACCACGUGAGCUCUGACCAGCUGAGGCUGGGAGUGGGGAAAGAGGUAUCAGCAUCUGCUAUGUAUCUCUGCUUGGGCAUGCAGCCACGGGCUUGCCCAGAGGAAUGUUCCCACCUCACUGAUCCUGCUGCCCACAGAAGACAGCAGUGUUUGUUUUUGUGUACUGAGCCAGGGUCUUGCUGUGUAACCCUGGCUUACCUGGAACUUACUAUGCAGACCAGAUCUGUCUGCCUCUGCCUCUCAAGAGCAGGGACUAGUGUGGCCUCCAUGCCUGGCAGAAAGGAGGGUGGAGUGCAUGACAUCUCCACCCACAGACAGCCCAUGGCUAACCCUCUCUACCACCUUGUUGCUGCCUGUGUUAGCAAUGGGGUCAGCAGUCAGUUUCAGAAUAAAAUGCAGCUUUAUUAGGAUAUAGGAAAGACUAAAAGCCACCAGGGAGACAGUCAAGCCCCUCAAAAUGACAGGGGAGAAAGUGACAUAAAUGUCUUGGUAAUAAAACUUCUAACUACAGUACAAUCAUUGAAUUUUUUCCCCUCACAAAAGGAUUUCAAAGCUAUAAUAAAUGAAACAAGCCACUUGUCAAAAAGAACAGUAAUUUUACACAAGGAAAAGCAUACAUACCAAGCCAAACACAACAGCACUCAGGUUCACAUGGUGUAGGGCGCUCAGGCCAGUGCCCAGCUUGAGGGGGGCUCCUGGGAUGAAGAGAGGAACUGCAGAUCCCAUUCUACCUCCUGUAUUGAAGACAUCUGAAGAGGGCUGGUCUGGCCUCCUGUGAGGCUGGUACCAGUGGUAUAUGGGAAGAGGUCUGCUCACUGCUCUAGACUGGGGCUGGGCAAUACAGCCCUGUGGUGAGACACACUUCUUGCCCAUCUGAGCACCUACACUGGAUGGUCCUUGGGUGGGAAAUCCUUUUCCUGCCUUGCUAUCCAAAGGCAGAACUGAAAGACCUUCCCAAGCCCACUGCUCAAAUCUGCCACUCCUCAGUCAUCCACACAUGCCUGUCUAUCUGAGACAGAUAGACAGGACGCAGAGGUAGGGCCAGAUAGAUGUGUGACAGCCAGAGAUGGAUGGCCUCCUUGCCGCGGGCACAGAGUGAAGUGCUUAGAAUGUUACGUCCAUGGUAAAGAAAAGGAAUGCAUUUGGAUAGAAAAGGUUAAAGUCAGGCUGACAGAAAACAGGUGUUGUCCUCCUCCGUGC